rnacentral:rRNA from 1 species
AGAGGUUUGAUCAUGGCUCAGGAUGAAUGCUGGCGGCGUGCCUAAUACAUGCAAGUCGAGCGGCAGCGCGUCUAGUUUACUAGAUGGCGGCGAGCGGCGGACGGCUGAGUAACGCGUAGGAAUGUGCCCCAAAGUGAGGAAUAACUGCCCGAAAGGGUAGCUAAUGCCGCAUAUGGUCUUCGGAUUAAAGGAUUUAUCCGCUUUGGGAGCAGCCUGCGUACGAUUAGAUAGUUGGUGAGGUAAUGGCUCACCAAGUCGACGAUCGUUAGCUGGUCUGAGAGGAUGAUCAGCCAGACUGGAACUGAGACACGGUCCAGACUCCUACGGGAGGCAGCAGUAAGGAAUCUUCCACAAUGGGCGAAAGCCUGAUGGAGCAACGCCGCGUGCAGGAUGAAGGCCUUCGGGUUGUAAACUGCUUUUAUGAGUGAAGAAUAUGACGGUAACUCAUGAAUAAGCACCGGCUAACUACGUG